rnacentral:rRNA from 1 species
GAUGAACGCUAGCGGCAGGCUUAACACAUGCAAGUCGAGGGGUAUAGUUCUUCGGAAUUAGAGACCGGCGCACGGGUGCGUAACGCGUAUGCAAUCUACCUUUCACAGAGGGAUAGCCCCAGAGAAAUUUGGAUUAAUACCUCAUAGUAUAGCAGUUUCGCAUGAAACCACUAUUAAAGUCACAACGGUGAAAGAUGAGCAUGCGUCCCAUUAGCUAGUUGGUAAGGUAACGGCUUACCAAGGCAACGAUGGGUAGGGGUCCUGAGAGGGAGAUCCCCCACACUGGUACUGAGACACGGACCAGACUCCUACGGGAGGCAGCAGUGAGGAAUAUUGGACAAUGGGCGCAAGCCUGAUCCAGCCAUGCCGCGUGCAGGAUGACGGUCCUAUGGAUUGUAAACUGCUUUUAUACAGGAAGAAACACUACUUCGUGAAGUAGCUUGACGGUACUGUAAGAAUAAGGAUCGGCUAACUCCGUGCCAGCA